UACAGAGGUCUCAAGCGUUGUUCGGAUUCAUUGGGCGUAAAGGGUGCGUAGGCGGCGCGGUAAGUCGGGUGUGAACAUCUCGGGGCUUAACUCCGAAACUGCAUUCGAUACUGCCGUGCUUGAGGACUGGAGAGGAGACUGGAAUUUACGGUGUAGCGGUGAAAUGCGUAGAUAUCGUAAGGGAAGACCAGUGGCGAAGGCGGGUCGUCC
rnacentral:rRNA from 1 species